UCUCCGUUGGUGAACCAGCGGAGGGAUCAUUACCGAGUUUUUCUACUCCCAAACCCUUGUGAACCUAUACCUUUACUGUUGCUUCGGCGGGUUAACGCCCCGGAAGGCCCAAAAAGGCGCCGGAACCAGGCGCCCGCCGGGGGACCCAGACUCUUGUGUUUCUUACGUGGCAUGUCUGAGUGGAAGCAUAAGCAAAUGAAUCAAAACUUUCAACAACGGAUCUCUUGGUUCUG
rnacentral:misc_RNA from 1 species